ACGCUUCUUUCCUCCCCAGUGCUUGCACUCAAUUGGAAAGAGGAGUGGCGGACGGGUGAGUAACACGUGGGUAACCUACCCAUCAGAGGGGGAUAACACUUGGAAACAGGUGCUAAUACCGCAUAACAGUUUAUGCCGCAUGGCAUAAGAGUGAAAGGCGCUUUCGGGUGUCGCUGAUGGAUGGACCCGCGGUGCAUUAGCUAGUUGGUGAGGUAACGGCUCACCAAGGCCACGAUGCAUAGCCGACCUGAGAGGGUGAUCGGCCACACUGGGACUGAGACACGGCCCAGACUCCUACGGGAGGCAGCAGUAGGGAAUCUUCGGCAAUGGACGAAAGUCUGACCGAGCAACGCCGCGUGAGUGAAGAAGGUUUUCGGAUCGUAAAACUCUGUUGUUAGAGAAGAACAAGGACGUUAGUAACUGAACGUCCCCUGACGGUAUCUAACCAGAAAGCCACGGCUAACUACGUGCCAGCAGCCGCGGUAAUACGUAGGUGGCAAGCGUUGUCCGGAUUUAUUGGGCGUAAAGCGAGCGCAGGGGGUUUCUUAAGUCUGAUGUGAAACCUCCGGGCUCAACCGGGGAGGGUCAUUGGAAACUGGGAGACUUGAGUGCAGAAGAGGAGAGUGGAAUUCCAUGUGUAGCGGUGAAAUGC
rnacentral:rRNA from 1 species